rnacentral:ribozyme from 1 species
CGUAGCAUCCGCCACCGAUCACGGUCUGGGUCUCGAUCUCAUCAUCGGACACCUUCCAAGAAG